AGACUGCUUAAUAUAUAAUAUUAUUAUAUAUACCAAAAUAACCAAGUGCCAACAGGCUGUCUAGCUAGCGCUGGCUCCAGCCCGACCGCGACCCUGAGAAUCCAAUCUGGAAAUGGAUGACGCAAUCAUAUACAUACUGCACAGAGCACACUCCUUUCUAGAUGGUAAUGUGCUCCAGAAGAAGGUUAAUGUUGCAUUCACUGACCUUUCUUAAACAAAGCUACUCUCUCAGGUUUCCCACACCAGCUGAACAGUAUUUGGAUCAUUUGUUGAACUGCAUAUAAAGCUAGAGCAGCAAGUGCUUCUGUCCAUUUGCCCUCUACUAAUACUGUGUGUAGUAGCAGUAGUAGUUAGGUAAACUUCUAGUUAGUUACUUAGUUAAAGUGAUAAAGGCGACAAAUCUUGGGACCUGUUUGUUCGGCUGUUUGUGACUGAGAAAAAUGACACUGAGAUGGAGGAAGCUGUAAAAUGGAUUAUUUUCAAAGGAUCGCGGGGGGCUGGAGCCUAUCCCAGCUACCAGAGUAUUCAUUUUGGAGAAAUCACCGUACAAAGAAAGAAAAAUAAUGAGACUAUUACAGACAGCAAUCUGUGACUGUAAUGAGCAGUGUGCUCAAGCAAAAUUCUCUGUUAACAUUCAUGUUGCUCACAAUAAAGUAGUUUAUAAAGUAAGACAUACUAAGAAAAGCCUGCUGUGUUUGCUAUAAUAACCACACUGGUUUACAGCUGCUUUGGGGACUCAACUACAUUUUUUGGUCACAGCCAUCAAACUUUAGAUGUGUUUGGUUGACUUUUAAGCUUUCUAGGAGUCUGUAUCAUCAGCUUUGUUCUACACACUGUCAAGCAAAGGUAGGAGCUGGGAUAGCAUGAGGUGUGUAAUUAAUUUGAAAAGUAUAACUUUUAACGAAAGGACUAAAUGUGUUUUCCUUUAUUUUUAAAGGAAAUAUUUAUCACAUUUUCAUGGGCUAAUUCUAAUUCUGACCAAUCAUAGCAGCCCAUUUCAACCAUGGUGACCAGUAUAUUUUUUUAAAUUGUCCAGGCUUUUUUUUUUGACAGUAUAAAUCUAUUCCUCAUGGUAGCACAAUAUGUCAGUAAUAGGUUAUAGAUCAUGAAGUCAAUGUAUUCAACAAACAACAUUUUUUGUUGAAAGUAGAAAAAACUAGAGACCAGACCGAAUCAGAGCUAAAAACCCUCCUGUGUUAUUUUUCUUCUUGAAAGCAGAGUUUGUUUUUAUUGAGAUAUUUGAAUUAUUAUACAUCACAGUGUGCGACGCUCUCUCUGCUGAUGUGAGUAAAUGGAGCUCACCCACCAGCCUUGGUCUUUCUCGCUUUCUGUUAUCUAUAUGACAGUAAUCAUUGUAUAUUAUUUAUAUAAUAUGUAUUUGAUGACAUUUUUGUGACUGGAUGGUCUAUAUUAGUCUUCACAAUCCACAGCAAAUAUAAUAAUAAGAAAGAGGGCAUUGUUGUCUUUUACACAUGCGCGUGUAAUAAGUCAAAGCAGUAGUAUCAAAAACAUUAAUUCAGUAAUAACAAGACCCAGUAUAAAUGACUCUGGUUAAUAAAGAAAUGGUAAUCCUUGCACCUGGCAAUGCCUAGAAGCAGCAGGUAAGCCACCUGUUGAUGUGUUUCGAUUGAGAUUGAGGCAGCUACCCUUGAGUUAGAGCGACAAAAUAAACUAAGGAGAAAUACGACAAUACAAGACACCAAGGAGAAAUGAGGUGUACAAGGAGCCACAGCACAACCACCCUCAGCCACCUCUGAACAGUGAUCUGAAAAGAAAAGAUUAAAUUCAGACAAGGGGGGAGGAGUGGUUGCCACAAAGAAAAAGCAAGGACAGAGUAAUGGACUGGACUGGGAGAUUGCUACGUUGAUUGAAGGUCUGGAAGCUGAUGUGCUUGACAUAAAGAAAAUGUUUAAUGAGACUUCAGAAGCAACAACGUUAAGGUCAAGUAUGGACAGUCCGUCCUCUCCAUCAGAGGUUGCCAAAUGUGCAGAGAGGCCCAGGCUGGUCACGUGUGUAGGCACAGCUUCCACUGUGGUCAGGGGGGCCAGCUUUCCCAAGGCUCAUUAAUAAGACAAAAGUAUUUCUUAUCUGAUUUCUUGGUUAAUCGAUGGAUUACUCUGUAGCCCUAAUUAAAAUCAAACAUUAAUUACUCAAAAAGAAACAUCAAUUGCAUCCUCCUUCAUACCACCCACUGGUUAGA